UCCAGACUCCUACGGGAGGCAGCAGUGGGGAAUAUUGCACAAUGGGGGAAACCCUGAUGCAGCGACGCCGCGUGAGCGAAGAAGUAUUUCGGUAUGUAAAGCUCUAUCAGCAGGGAAGAAAAAAAUGACGGUACCUGAGUGAGAAGCACCGGCUAAAUACGUGCCAGCAGCCGCGGUAAUACGUAUGGUGCAAGCGUUAUCCGGAUUUACUGGGUGUAAAGGGAGCGUAGGCGGCGCGUUAAGUCUGAUGUGAAAACCCGAGGCUCAACCACGGGAGUGCAUUGGAAACUGGCGGGCUGGAGUGCCGGAGAGGUAAGCGGAAUUCCUAGUGUAGCGGUGAAAUGCGUAGAUAUUAGGAGGAACACCAGUGGCGAAGGCGGCUUACUGGACGGCAACUGACGCUGAGGCUCGAAAGCGUGGGGAGCAAACAGGAUUAGAUACCCGCGUAGU
rnacentral:rRNA from 1 species